rnacentral:lncRNA from 1 species
GCAGCUCCGGGCCGGGAUCGCGGAGGACCGCGCCGCGGAGCCGGGCGGAGGGGGCGGGGAACGGGAGGCGGCGCAAAGGGGAGGGGGACGCCCUGCGCAUGCGUGCCAGCGCCCAUGCAAAUCGCUGUCCAUCCAGCGAGCAAAGUGGGAUGAUCUGUCACUACACCUGCAGCACCACGCUCGGAGGACAGCUCCUGCUCGCAGCUUCCAGACCCAGGAAGCCUGAAGGGAAGGAAGGAAGUACAGGCGAAAUCAUCAGAUUGGCUUCCCGGAUUUGGGAAUCUGAAGCGGGCCCACAUCUUCCGGCCAACUUCUAUUGAACUUCCAAGCACUCGAAAGGGACCGAAAUGGAAAGCAAAGGUAUGUGGCUGUCCCCGUCGGGAGACUCCCCGGUGCAUGUGCGUGUGUGGCCCGGGCAGUCCUCGUCGGCGAGGGGACUGCAGUGCCGGGAGCCAGCAUCAUACUAGGUCGAUAGGAGGAGAUGCUAUGUCCGUUGCACCACCGGGAAGUGUGGCAGGAAGACCACUUCUUUUUUUAACUCCUGCAGCUUGGAAGACAGUGUUUAAUACUCCAUCAGUUGCGUAGUGAAGUGUGAUGAGUUUUUUUUUUUUUUUUUUUGCUUUUAUAUUUUUUAAAAUUUCAUUUUAAUUACUUUUUUGUGUUCUUCAAAGUCCUUACAACUCAUUUUAUGUUCAGGAUAAGUAUUACUGAGGACCUAAAAAAUCUUCUGGAAGUGCUGGAUUUCUGCAGCCACCACUCUUACUACAGUUCGUCUUUUUUUUUUUUUUUUUUGGUAGGUGGGGGGUGGCGAGGGGAGAGUCCCUCCCAAAAUGGAGGGGGAGGAGAAAUGUGUUGGUAAAGCAAUUUCUUUUCUGAAUAAUGGCUGGGCUCAAAUGUGUUUGAUUUGUUUUAGGACUGCUCACGGGCACGUUUGUAUCUGAUAUUCAAUAAUGUACUGUUAAAGAAAUGUUUAAAUUUUUCCAUCCCCCCACCCCAUGAACGUGGUAUUUCUGGGUGUGUAUGACCACAUCGUGCUGCAUUUUGAAUAGAUAUCAGCCAAAAAAUUAGGUCUAUUUGAAACAGCGUGCGUUAGAGCUGACCUCUAAGAAGAACAGUGCAUCGGAGUACCGCUUGGCUCUCAAACAUAAUACAUUUACUAGUUCUGGACAUGAGGAUAUUAAUAUUCUCUUCGUAAGCAUUUGGUAUAAUGCACACACACCAACUGGUACAAGAGCUGUACACACUAGAUCUCAU